AGUGAACGCUGGCGGUAGGCCUAACACAUGCAAGUCGAACGGCAGCACAGUAAGUGCUUGCUCUUACGGGUGGCGAGUGGCGGACGGGUGAGGACUACAUCGGAAUCUACUUUUUCGUGGGGGAUAACGUCGGGAAACUUACGCUAAUACCGCAUACGACCUACGGGUGAAAGCAGGGGAUCUUCGGACCUUGUGCGAUUGAAUGAGCCGAUGUAGGCUUAGCUAGUUGGCGGGGUAAAGGCCCACCAAGGCGACGAUCCGUAGCUGGUCUGAGAGGAUGAACAGCCACACUGUAACUGAGACACGGUCCAGACUCCUACGGGAGGCAGCAGUGGGGAAUAUUAGACGAUGGGCGCGAGCCUGAUCCAGCCAUACCGCGUGAGUGAAGAAGGACUUCGGGUUGUAAAGCCCUUUUGUUGGGAAAGAAAAGCAGCAGGUUAAUACCCCGCUGUUCUGACGGUACCCAAAGAAGAAGCACCGGCUAACUUCGUG
rnacentral:rRNA from 1 species